rnacentral:rRNA from 1 species
CAUCACGUAGUUUGAUCCUGGCUACAGAACGAACGCUGGCGGCAGGCCUAACACAUGCAAGUCGAGCGAGGUAGCGAUACCUAGCGGCGGACGGGUGAGUAACGCGUGGGAACGUACCCUUUGGUUCGGAAUAGCCCUGGGAAACUGGGAGUAAUACCGGAUACGGUCGAGAGACGAAAGAUUUAUCGCCGAAGGAUCGGCCGACAUCGGAUUAGCUAGUUGGUGAGGUAAAGGCUCACCAAGGCGACGAUCCGUAGCUGGUUUGAGAGGACGACCAGCCACACUGGGACUGAGACACGGCCCAGACUCCUACGGGAGGCAGCAGUGGGGAAUUUUGGACAAUGGGGGAAACCCUGAUCCAGCCAUUCCGCGUGUGCGAUGAAGGCCUUCGGGUUGUAAAGCACUUUUGGCAGGAAAGAAAUCGCACCAAUUAAUACUUGGUGUGGAUGACGGUACCUGCAGAAUAAGCACCGGCUAACUACGUG